rnacentral:lncRNA from 1 species
UUGUUUUUUUUUGUUGUCUUUAUUGUUGAAGAGUAAUGGAUAGUUUCUGAAUACUGAGAAGUAAGUCUGUGGAAUGAAUCAGAGAUUGAUUUAUGAGUUAUUGAUUAUGUAAUUGGAAGACUGAGUGAUUGAAUUAUAUGAGAAGUUAUUAGAAGAUUGCUUAUGGAUAGAAGAUUAUGAUUGUAGUUUAUUGAAAGUUGUGUAUGUGUGUUUUGAUAGACGAAGUCUGUGAUUACAGAAUUUCUAUGAAUUCAGAUUGUUUG